UACGUAGGGUGCAAGCGUUGUCCGGAAUCACUGGGCGUAAAGGGCGCGUAGGCGGCUUUGUAAGUCGGGGGUGAAAGCCUGUGGCUCAACCACAGAAUUGCCUUCGAUACUGCAUGGCUUGAGACCGGAAGAGGUAAGUGGAACUGCGAGUGUAGAGGUGAAAUUCGUAGAUAUUCGCAAGAACACCAGUGGCGAAGGCGGCUUACUGGUCCGGUUCUGACGCUGAGGCGCGAAAGCGUGGGGAGCAAACAGG
rnacentral:rRNA from 1 species